rnacentral:rRNA from 1 species
AUUGAACGCUGGCGGCAGGCCUAACACAUGCAAGUCGAGCGAGCGGCGGACGGGUGAGUAAUGUAUGGGGACUGCACGAUAGAGGGGGAUAACUACUGGAAACGGUGGCUAAUACCGCAUAAUGUCGGAUAACCCAUAUGGGAUUAGCUCGUAGGUAAGGGAAUGGCUGACUUAGGCGACGAUCCCUAGAUGGUCUGAGAGGAUGAUCAGCCACUCGGGGUCUGAGACACGGCCCAGACUCCUACGGAGGCAGCAGGGGGGAAUAUUGCACAUUGGGCGCAAUCCUGAUGCAGCCAUGCCGCGUGUAUGAAGAGGGCCCUAGGGUUGUAAAGUACUUUCAGUCGGGAGGCGUUACCGACAGAAGAAACACCGGCUAACUCCGUGCCAGCAGCCGCGGUAAUUC